rnacentral:rRNA from 1 species
GAUGAACGCUGGCGGCGUGCCUAAUACAUGCAAGUCGAGCGAACAGACGAGGAGCUUGCUCCUCUGACGUUAGCGGCGGACGGGUGAGUAACACGUGGAUAACCUACCUAUAAGACUGGGAUAACUUCGGGAAACCGGAGCUAAUGCCGGAUAAUAUAUUGAACCGCAUGGUUCAAUAGUGAAAGACGGUUUUGCUGUCACUUAUAGAUGGAUCCGCGCCGCAUUAGCUAGUUGGUAAGGUAACGGCUUACCAAGGCAACGAUGCGUAGCCGACCUGAGAGGGUGAUCGGCCACACUGGAACUGAGACACGGUCCAGACUCCUACGGGAGGCAGCAGUAGGGAAUCUUCCGCAAUGGGCGAAAGCUUGACGGAGCAACGCCGCGUGAGUGAUGAAGGUCUUCGGAUCGUAAAACUCUGUUAUUAGGGAAGAACAAAUGUGUAAGUAACUAUGCACGUCUUGACGGUACCUAAUCAGAAAGCCACGGCUAACUACGU